GUGCUCGUACUUCUUCACGAUCCCCUCACACUUGUCAAAGCUCACCACCUCAACCUCAGAGGGAUCUGCCAAGCAACUGCAUACUUCACCAAGGUUAAAUUUGCCUGGAAAUUUUAUGAAAAGGCAUCCAUUUGGUAGUAUCUGCGAAAUACGGCCUGUAGCCAGUCCUCCACCUCUCUUUCGCUGCCAUUCAAACUGUGGGCUUGAAAUAUUGGCUUUCAGCCGCACAAACUGCCCAACACAGUAGGCUUCAGCCAUUUGAAGGUCAGAGUAUUCACCCUUCCAGAGGGUGUCCACUCCAAUCAGACCUACAUAAACAGUACCACUACGGUCAAUGCUAUGAAGAAUUCCAACCUGAGAUCGCUUCUUCUCAUCCUCCCUAAGCCGUACCCAGUCUCCAGCAGCGAAACCAUAGGUUACCCUUUCCACUGUUGAAGAGCGAACCUUCAAAGGAUCAUGUAAACCAUGGAUCCUUACAAGAAUGUAGCCAUCACGCUCUCCAUUAUCCUCCAUUCCAACUAUGGUUCCAUCAGGGACUUCCAUGGUUGUUGGACUACAAGUGUUUUUAAGCUUUCUCGAGCGAACCUUGUCUCCCACUUGCAACUUGUCCUUGAAGAAUGACCAGUUAGUGCGGCUUGGCAGGGCUGGACUGACCAUCCUUAGAUUUUCAGAAUUUCCCUGGUCAGUAUUUUCGUAAUCUACAUCUUUUGCACUCUCAAAUGCAUCUAAAAUAUCAGUCAUCUGGGGGCGGUCUCUAAAGUCAUAUUCAAAGCAUCCAGAAAGGACAUUCUCUAUUGCUGGAGGCAAAUUGUAUGG
rnacentral:sRNA from 1 species